GAGAUGGCUCCUAAAUCCCGCCACUGCCACAGCCAAAUCCUGCAAACUGUCAGGAGGCCCUCCUGGAGCUUCUUGCUUAGGGGCUUGCAUCCACGAGGGCCCUCUGAGGAUGACAAAUUCAUCCGCUAUUUCCAAGUCUCUGCUUGUCAGUCUGUAAUUGCAGUAAAUGCAACUGAAAGUCCUUUUACUUGAAGGCCAUUUGACAGAGGGGAAGAAAACACAUUUACUCUUUCAAGGCUUGUGUAUUUUCCUGGGAGAAGCCUGCCUAUAAAAUCUGUCCCUUUAUCCUUAGAGAGCUAUUUGGGAAACAUCUUUGAGCAGAGCCACGAUGUAGAACCUGUUUCCUGCAUCCCCCUUGUCUUCUCCUCUGAUUUCUGAACCCGCCUGUGCCCAGAGCUCUCUUUCCUCCAGGAUGAGAUGGCAAUGUGCACGUGUUAGUGAAAACAGUACGCUCUUUUCAUUCUGGCAAUUUGAGAAAGUAUUUUUGCAAAAUCUUUGCCCAGUUAAUUUAGUACAAAUAAAAAUAAUAUCAUGAGUGGAUUUGUUUUCUGGUAAAAACUCUUUUAUACUUACUUCUCGUCAUGAAAUUAAAACUCAAUAAAAUAAGCUGGUUGAACACUGCUUGCUGGUGUGCUUAUCUUUACUGGGAAUUUACUUGAAUAAUACAAGGAAAUCCUAGUUUGGAGGAUUUGACAACAGGGAAAACUGCAAAAUAAUAUUUUAAAAUUGCUAGAAAGCUGUUUCAGUCUCUGUAAGUCAUCACAACUUCUGAACCUGCAGAAACAUCAAAUAUCCUGAUCGCUUUAAGGUCUCAGGUCUUGGUUAUCGGACCUGUUGAAUGCCUCUUACCUAUGAAGAGAUUCCACUCAGUGUCCAAAUCUGCCUGAUUGGCCAGGCAGCCCUUCAUGACGUUGAGGCAGUAGUUGUUGCAAGGUCUCACAGUGGGCAAGCCUCGGCAGUAUGGGCAGUACAGCAUCUUCAUGAGAGCCCGGAUGCAGCCAGGGGUGGGGCUCACCUGUAAGUAUAUAAGACAGGGGCCAAAAAUUAGGGUCGGAAUGAUGAAGGGGAGCAGGAAAAGAUAUCUUGUUUCUCUAAAUACCAGGAUGAAAACCAGGCAAAGUUGUUCUGCUAAACCUUAAACAGCCAAGCAGAGGGUUGAAGAACGGUUAGAAGCUGAGCCCUUUUGAAUUUUUCAUACGAAAGAGAGCCAGCCGAUUCCUAUUAAACACCAUUGCUCAGCAAAGUAAUAACUCCUGUCCACGUUUUGCUCUUUCUCUCUGUCACUGCAAUUCAAUCCUAAACCAGACACAGUUUCCUUGUAGGAGAACCUGAAGUGAGAUCAUGUAGAGGCUGCAAGUUGAAGAGCAAAGAGCCCUGUAAACAGGGAACUGCUAUUAAAGUUUAAUGUGACACCUCCAGCAAAGUGUCUAACUGGUUGUUACUCGAUCCUUUGCUAACAGAGGUUGGCGGAUAUCCUUCCGGAGAACACAACUGCUAUUGAGGCUCAAUAUCACCUUGUCUGGGAUCUAUGUGACCUAGGCCUGCAGAGAAGUAGGAGCAAUGGACCUGCUGAGGCCCUGACUUCAGGCAUCUGGCAGGUACAGGACUCUAGAAAGUUCACUUAAAAUGGAUCCGGCUUGCUUUGCAAGCAGGCAUUUCUGCACAGAUUCAGAGUCACCACUAACCCACUGACAACGAAGGGCUGUUUGUUUGGAAUAAGGAAUGGAGUGCCCCAAAUCAAUGCUCAAGCAGUAAACUUGGGGUGCAAAGAGGAUAAGAAUGCAAAGACAGGGAGAGAGGCAGCAAUAGCCUUCCUCUGGAGAAGACAGUGCUCUUAGAAUGUACUGCAGCUGCUUCAGCGCUGUUCUGCAUAAGAAAGGGCUUCUGGGUAUCCACUGGAGGCCACACCAGGUCCCAACCCAAUGUCAUUAUCAAACUACAUAUGUCAUGAACAUAAAAAUCAGAUGUCCUAAAUGUGGGGAAGAGACUCGGAUAAGGAGAAGGGGUGGUGGCUAUAGGGGUGGGAGCAACAAGGGAGUGGAUGCGAACAUGGGAUUGGAGUGAGCAGAUACUGUAUGCAUAUGUAAAAUGCACGUGUGUUUUUGUAAUUAUCGACAAAAUUAAUC
rnacentral:lncRNA from 1 species